UUGCCUGAUAUGAUGAUCAGAUAAUAUCAUGUCUCUUCUCUGACUGUACACUGAAGAUGCUGAAUGAAGUCUGAUUGGGCAG